rnacentral:rRNA from 1 species
UACGUAGGGUGCGAGCGUUGUCCGGAAUUAUUGGGCGUAAAGGGCUCGUAGGCGGUUUGUCGCGUCGGGAGUGAAAUCCACUGGCUUAACUGGUGGCUUGCUUUCGAUACGGGCAGACUGGAGGUAUGCAGGGGAGAACGGAAUUCCUGGUGUAGCGGUGAAAUGCGCAGAUAUCAGGAGGAACACCGGUGGCGAAGGCGGAUCUCUGGGCCUGUCCUGACGCUCAGGCGCGAAAGCUAGGGGGAGCGAACAGG